AAGGCCUCUCCUGAGGAUCUCAGGGCUUGAGUGGGUUGGUAGAAAGAGAUACGGUCUCUCAAGUAGUCUGGGCCCGAACCAUAUAGAACUUUGUAGGCUAAAGCCAGCACCUUGAAUUGUGCCCAGAAACAAACCAGAAGUAUCUAGGAGUCUUAUGAAUAGAUAUUCUCUACAUUGUUUAACCUAAAAUACAUUUUUUCCCAAAACAUGUUUUCACUAUCCCUUUCAUAAGUUCUGGAUGACCAGGUUUCAAAACUUCAGUUGGCCAUGGAAAUCCACUGGGUGUUCUUGGGCAACUCACAUUUUCUCAGCCACAGAGGAAAACAAUGAGACUCCACUCUGAACAAAAUUUGCCAAGAAAACCCUGUGACAGAUUCCCCUUUGGAUCACCAUAUGUUGAAAAUGGUGUAAUGGCACAGAAGAACAGUCACCUGCAUUUGGUAUUUUAUGUGGCCCCAAAGGAUCCAAAGGCCAAAACCUGGCAUCUAGACCACCCAAGUUUACAUAUUUCCUCCGAGGUAACAAAGAUCAGAUAAUUAGAGUUCAUAUCCCCAGGCUGUAUUAGUAAAAAUCUGGAAACCCAAACUAUCUUUUAUAGAUUACCCCAUACAAUCAAAGAGAUCAGGAAACGAUGUCAAGUGAAACCAAGAUGAUACAUGAAUGUAACAGAAUGACCCUGAAAAAAAGAUUUGAAUAACAAAAUGUAUAACAAAAUGCUAAAAAUGGGAGGUGCUAAAAUUAGUCAGGAAAAAUAGGUUUUGGCACAGCAUUUUAUUUUGUUUUGUUUUGUUUUGUUGCAGGCUUAACUUUAUAUCAUACAUUGGGAAAGUGACUUGCUAGCUCCUGAAAAGGAAUUUUGGGUUAGUUCUAAUAGUAAUAGAAUUCCAGGAGUGAUACUUUUACUCCACUGCAUACUAAGCAUGAUGAUUAAUCUUGCCCUGACUAACAAGGAAAGAUGAUUCUUUCCCAAGCUGUCCAACUUCUGGUGCUUCAAUUUUCUUUUGCAGACAAUCCAUUUAUGUUUAUUCAAAUCACAGCCAAAGUGGUGAUAGGACCUAUAUUUCACAAACAGCAAUUUCACACCCAUGUAAUUUCAAAGGAGCAUGGAAACGGGGGGAAAGGGUCUUGAAUCUCUGGCUGAAAAAUGUAUAUCCAGAACCACAAUCACUAAAAUUGUAUCCUUCAAAGUCUGAGCCAAUUUCAAAGAAUGCAUGUAUAGCCUAACAUAUUAGGAAACUAGGUUUUGACUUCUUAUAUAAGAUGAUAUUCUUAGUGCUGAUAGCCACUGAUAUUCAAAUUUAGUUCCCAGCUCUUCGACUUUAGAUAUUUUUUAUGCCUUUAUGAUCUUCUCUCAACCUUUUCUUCAUUUUCUAUUUAGUGUGUCCCUAUAUACAUAUAUUUUAAUUCUUGCGGCUAAAUAAGAAGACCACAUAUAGGUGUUGCUAACUGUAGUAUUUUUCAGAGUUAAAUUUUACUAGUUAAAUCAAACUCUUGUUUAGGGCAAUGCUUUUAUUUCAAAAGGUGUCUCUGCAAUGCCCUGAACUUGAGUAAUAGAAUCAUAGAAUCUAUUACUUCUUUCCUUUUGUUAUUUAAAAUACCUACAAGAGCUAAGCUAUACCUGGUGGAGGAGGAGGCCCAUGGGACUUGGAAUGGCUCUUCUCCCUCCACCACUUGACCUUACGUGAGCAGCCCUGACCUGCAAUGGGCCUGGGAAAGCCAUACCUGAAUGCACAUACACACAGCUAAUCCAUCGCCAAAGGUAUGGAUUGCACCAGAGAUCUUCCUGGUGGUAUUUGAACCUGAGGAAUACGGGGCAGCUUCUUCCAAUGUUGAUAUGUGGUAUGUUGGUAUGUGCAUGUCGCACCUCAGGCUAAGUUCACCUUGCUAGGAUACCCAGUCAACACACAAAUAGUCUUUUAAGGCCUUUAUUUAGAGCAAAGCAGAAUAUAGAUCAAGCAAGCAAUCAAAAGAUAAUUCAAUGUUGUAAAGAAAGAGUCCAAAGCACAGAGUUAGUCCAUGAAGUUCAAAGCACAAGGUCUUAGUCCAUACAAUCCAAAGCAUGAAGUUCAAAGCACAAAGUCUUAGUCCACAGGAUCCAAAACAUAAGGUCCAGAGAUAUAAGUAAUCCACCAAGCAAGGUAUUAAUCCAUAGGAGGCAAGGAGCAGGGUCCAAGAAUGCAAAGUAAUCCCAGAGGCAAAGUGUAGUCCUUAGAAAGCACGAAACAAGGCCCUAGACUCCAAAAUGCUGGCAAGGGAAACAUGCACACAGAUAAAGCGAUGAAUUGCUGUGACAAAGGGCAUGGUCUGCACAGGCUUCUUUUAAUAGCAACCCAGGAAGGCGUUUCUUUUCCCACAGCUUGAUUCUUUCGAAAGCUCUCUUUUGCACGCCAAACGGUCACUUCUGCGAAGCUCAGAGCCCCGCCAAGACAAACGGUCUUGCCUGGACAGCUCAGGGCCACUGUUAUCUCGCACCUGGUCUUCAGUUGCCCCGGCUCCUUCAUUAUUUCUCAGUUCUCCAGUUUCCUCCUCAUUAUUUUCCACAACUCUCGGAUCCUCCUCAAAAACUCCCAAAGCAAGAAUGUUAGCCUGACCGUUAUCUGACUCUUCUAAGGCCAGCAGGUCAUCCUGCUCAAAGUGAAACUGCAUGUCUCUAACAGGAGGCUCAGACUGCUGCAAAAUCCCAAAACCAGAAUCCUCUUCUGUUCCAUCUUGGAAACCAAAGUCCCCUUCAGUGUCAUCAUCUUGAACGUGGCCAGCCUGUGGCUGGGAUACAACAGUGCACCCGUACCUGGGGAAGUCAGACUUGGCCACGGUGGUCCAUGCUCUGGUUAUAUCCUGUUUAGUUUACUGCAACAUGAUCUAUGUGGAGUUGCCUAUGAAGACUGUUCAGAAGAUCCAACUGGUCCAAUGGGCGGCAGUCAGGUUGCUCACCAAAGCAGCGUACAGGGAGCAUUCAAUGUCCCUGUUAUGUCAGGUCCACUGCCUGCCAAUUUGCUUCCAAGCACAAUUCAAACUGCUAGCUUUAGCCUAUAAAGCCCUAGAUAAUUCCUGCCCAGCCUACCUGUCUGAACAUAUCUCCCCCUUAAUCUCCCUCUGCCUCAGAGAUUAAGAUUGUCUGAGGAGGACCUUCUCUCGAUCCCACCUUCUUCGCAAGUGCAACUUGUGGGGACAAGAGACAGGGCCUUCUCUGUGGUGGCCCCUCUGCUGUGGAGCUCCCUCCCAAGUGGUAUCAGAUCAGCCCCCUACCUCUUAACCUUUAGGAAGAGAGUCAAAACCUGGCUUUGGGAGCAGGCCUUGGAAAAAUAGUGCAGUGCUAUAAUCCUCAAUUGGGAAAAUGUGCAAUUUUGAGUUGAUCAUGGAACGGCCUUGAAUUUUGUUCUUGGAUGGUAUUUUAACAUUGGAUUGUAUUUUAAUUACGCUAUUCUGUAUGUGGUAAUUUAAUCUAUUUUAUUUUAUGCUUAACUUGUAUGUUUUGCGGCACUGUUUAUGUGCUAUUUGUAAGCCACAUUGAGUUCCCUUCUGGGGUAGAGAAAGGCGGGGUGUUGCUGCUGCUCAAUCGUUUAGUCGUCUCCGACUCUUCGUGACCUCAUGGACCAGUCCAUGCCAGAGCUCCCUGUCGGCCAUCACUGCCCCCAGUUCCUUCAAGGUCAACCCAAUCACUUCAAGGAUACCAUCCAUCCAUCUUGCCCUUGGUCGGCCUCUCUUCCUUUUUCCUUCCAUUUUCCCCAGCAUCGUGAUCUUUUCCAAGCUUUCCUGUCUCCUCAUGAUGUGGCCAGAAUACUUCAGCUUUGCCUCUAAUAUCCUUCCCUCCAGUGAAAUAAAUAAAUUAAAAAUAUAUUUCUGUCAGACUUGCUAACAAGAUCUUAGUCUCUACCCUCUGGACAUAAUAUGUCAUAUUGCUAUUUUGUAAAAACAAGUAUUUUAUUAAGUUAAACCAAGGAUGACACAUUAUGCCAAGGACUGAAACAAAAAAGAAAAUGCAUAUAGACCCUCAGAUAAAUUAAAUGGGAAGAAUGACAACUAGAGCACAGAUGGUGGAAAACUCAACUUUUAUGCAACAAGACAUGAUAUAGAGGACAUAUUUGCUCCUAUAAGGUGGCAAUAUGUUACAAAGAAAACUUUCUUCUCUGCAUGCAUUUCAUCUGCAGAUUAACAUGCACCUGAGCUAUUCAGAGUGGUGAAAGACUUAAGUCAGGUACCUUACCCCCUGAAUCCAUUGAUAGAACCUUCAGUAGCUGUGAUGCUUUUAAUAACCGUUUUUCAGAUAUAACCUCUUACAUAAGAAUUGACUUAGAUACCAUUGUUGUAUCAGACUUCAACAAUGAGGUGUCCGGCAACUCUGUGAGUUGGAUUUGACUGGAUUAGUUUCAAUUAGUGAGUACUGUUGAUGUGGACAAGCUGCUGGGGCAAGAGAGGAAGACAACCUGCUAUCUUGAUCCCUGUCCCUCUUGGCUCGUAUAUUCAGGGAGAACAUGCAAUUCAAUCUCAAAUACAAAAAAAUUAUCAAUGCAUCUCUUAGAAAAGGGAAUUGUCUACACUGUUUAAAAGAAGCAGUAGUUAAAUCACUGCUGACAAAGCCCUUCCUUGAUCCCUUGGACCUUAAUAAUUACACACCAGUCUCUAACCAUCCUUUCUUCUUCUUCUUCUUCUUUUUUUUUGCAAGGUGAUUGAAAAAGCAGUUGCCAUCCUGUUCCAAGCAGUCUUGGGUGACAAGCACUUCUUUGAUCCAUUUCAAAAUGGCUUCAUAUCAGGAUAUGGAGUUGAGACUGCUAUGGUCACCUUAGUGGAUGAUCUCCAUCUUAACAUGGACAGUGGGAAUUAUUGGGGGAAUUGGAAACAAUGGACAUCUAGAUUAAAAUGGUGAAAUUAAAAGGUCUAGAUACAGCUCAAGUGAUAAAGAUGGAAUUCAUUACUCUUUAAUGGAGGGUGAACAGAAAGGGGAUGGCACUGCAGAUAUUGUUGAACAAAAAUUCCCAGCAUUCCUUUUCAUUGACUAUCCAGCAAGGCUGAUAACCAAAGGUAAGGAAUAUUGGCAGUUGCACAUUGCUACUUUAACAUUUUGAUCUCUUGAAGUAUCAAAAUUUACUUGAUUUCUUAUUGGCAAAUAUGGUUUACAGGCAAGGAUUGUAUGCAAAACACACGCCAUUUUUGCAUAGACUAAAUAUUGAACUGUAAAUAUUGUUGUCUGUGCAAAAUUCUUAAUACAGCUUUUCCAUGCUCAAAAACAUGUUUUUUGACAGUUACAUUUUUUAACAUGCUUCCAAACUUGAGUUGAAAUCUCUGUGGUCAAAUUCAAGGAGUGUGAUGCCUAACUAGAGGGUUGGGAUAGCUCAAAAGAGGGGAUGGAAGCAAAACCCCUCUUUUUCCAGUAUAGAAAUACUUUGUCAAUCAAAGUGAGCAACUAUUUUUUAGUUUAGUUAAUAGUAAAUAUAAAAUUCCAGGACUAGCAUGUUAAGCAAGCAAUUUUUGCAGAACGCAGUGAUUUUCCUAGGAAAAACUUUUGUUGCCAGAUCUGCCUACAACAGAGAACUUUAAAAAUAUGUCCUUUUUAAUACACACACUUACACUUACACAGAGUAUAAUUGUGAAUUUUUAUCUGCUACAUUUACAUUUGUGUUUAAUGAUUUGUUCAGAGCAUUAUUUUUAAUUGGAUUAUCACUGCAAAUCAUACUGGCAUCAAUUUUUGAUGAAGGAUGGUGUAUAAAUAUUUCAAGUCCAUCAACAAAUGAAUAAAUGCAUUUCCUCCCCUAUGCACACUGAACAAAAAGGGAUUCUGGGGGGAUGUCUAUAGUGCAUUUCUCUUUUCUUUACUCCAGUCCUCUGUGUAAUGUGCAUUAUGUUGCAUGUUCUGCAAUGGAUUUAAGUAUCUAUUUCUAUUUUCAGUUUCUACCUCACUUAUUUCUAGAUUAUUUUAUUCUAAAUGCUAUGAAAAUAAACAAGGAAGUAAUUACAAGGGAAGGCAAAAUGAAAUUUAGUGAAGUUAUACAAAGCAAAUAUAAAAAUUCUAAGUGUGAAUGAUUUUUGAUGUUUUACUCUUGAUCACGCUUAGAAAUUGAGGAAUGAAGAUUUUAUUUGGAUAUUAAAAUUUGUAUUGGUUGGCAAUGCUCCCAUUUUGUUCAUUCAUGAUCAUUCAGACACACUGGACAAGAAGGGUUUGUGGAAGGAUAAUAAUAAUAAUAAUAAUAAUAAUAAUAAUAAUAAUAAUAAUAAUAAUAAUAACAACAACAACAACAACAGCAGCAGCAGCAGCAGCAACAAUAACAGGGAUGACUGUUGUUGAAGGUUCUGAAGGUGUGGUAGCCUCCAAACUCCAGGGACUUCUGGAUGAUAUGGAUUGUCUAGAUCAAUUUCAAUCUUGUUUCAGACCUGGCUUUGGAAUAGAGACAGCUUUGGUCACCUUGGUGCAUAACCUACGAAGAUAGUUAGACAGGGGGAAAGUGUCCCGGUUGGUUCUCCUGGACCUCUCAGCAAUACCAUUGACCAUGGUAUGCUUCUGGGUCAUCAUGCUGGUAAGGGACUGGGAGACACUGUCUUACAGUGGCUCUGGUCCUUCCUGGAGCACCAUACUGAGAAGGUGGUGCUGGAGGACUCCUGUGUAAAUGCCUGGCUGUUGACCUGUGGGGUUCCUCAGGGUUCCAUUUUGUUCCCCAUGCUGUUUAACAUAUACAUGAAACCACCGAGAGAGGUCAUCCAGAGUUUUGGAGUAUGGUGCCACCUAUAUGCGAAUGACACCCAACUCUACUACUUCUAAUGCCAAGGAAGCUGUCCCAACCUUAAACCAGUGCUUAUCAUUAGUAAUGAACUGGUUAAGGGCAAAUAAAUUGAAACUUAAUCCAGACAAGACAGAGGUGCUCCUGGUCAGUCAGAAGGCAAACCAUGGAAUAGGGAUCUAUCCUAUGCUGGAUGGGGUCACACUCCCCCUGAAGAGACAGGUCUUCAGUUUGAGGGUCCUCCUAGACUUGGCACUGAACCUGAAGACCUAGGUGUCUGUGGUGGCCAGGAUGGCUUUUGCAUAGUUAAAACUUGUGCAUCAACUGCAUCUGUUCUUUGGGAAACCAGAUCUGACCAUGGUAUACAUGCCUUAGUUACAUCCCAUCUGGAUUACUGCAAUACACUCAAUGGGGGGGGGGGGUGCAUCUGAAGAGUGCUCAGAAAGAAUUGUGUGGUAGUGGAAUAUGCUUCCUUGGAACAUGGUGGAGUCUCCUCCUUUGGAGGUUUUCAAGCAGAAGGUAAAUGGUCAUUUGUGUGUGUGGGUUGAUUUUGUGUUCCUGUAUGGCAGGGGGUUGGACUGGAUGGCCCUUGUUGUCUCUUUCAUAGCUAUGACUCUAUGAUUCUAUGAUAUAAGUAUAUAUGAUAUAUUUAGAAUAAUACUACAAUUUUACUCACUUAGCUUGUGUGUUUUCAAAUACAUAGUGAGGAUCUUUUUUUUUUCCUUUAGCAUAUGGGUUUGUUCAAAGAUAGGCACUCAAGUGAAUUUUGCUAUUUAAGAGAUGCCGCCUCUGGCAGUCUUCUUUGCAUUUGAUCUUUCCUGUUGAGAUCAGUUCUCAUAUUUGCAGAAUAUAAUUUUAUUUUGUGUGUGUUUGUUUGAGCAAGUUCAUAAAGGUAGUUUUCCCUAGUUUUUACAGAUAUGUGAACUCUUAAGUGAUCACUCCCAGAAGAAGAACUAGGUUUUUAGUUUGCCCUAUCUCUUCUUUCAAGUACUAGAAAAACCAUAAGAGCCUCUUUGAAUAUUUUAAAAGAUGAAGACAAAUGCAAAAUCCUUUUCUAUAUGUGUGGAGAAGGGUAUUUAAUAGUACAAGAGAUCCCAUGCUUUAUGUAGGCUGACUUACUGUUAUAUGCCUGUAAGGGAUGACAUGAAUAUUAAAAAAUAUUUGGAAAAUGGUUAAAUGAUUUUUUGAGAGUCAGAACUUCCUGACCAGGCAAACUGUGGAUUAACAAGAAUCUUCAAGUUUAUACUAUGAUUGUUAGAGGCUUUAAUCUAAUUCAUAAUCAUAAUAUAAAAUUGCAGGGGAUUUUUUCCUUGGUCAAAAAGCUGUAUUUGGGGACUUAAGUGCAAAAUUUUGUGUGCAACAAACACUACUUUCUGCAAAUUAAACAGUGUGUGAAUUUUGUGCAAAGUUUCAAAGAGUCCCCUGAUUCAGCAAGCCGUUUGUGAAAUGAAGUUUUUAUUUUAUUUUAAAGCAAAGUACUGUAGGGAUGUAAUUUCUUUUACUAAUUUAAUUCAAUAAUAAAAUUAGUAAAAUAAAUUACAUCCCUAACAGAAGUUUAACAGAAGAAACUUCAUUUCCUAGUUAGAUCAAAGAAUAGAACUUUGUAUUACCUUUGUUGAAAGCUCAGGAAAGUUACCUUUUUGGAAAACGACUUCAAGUAUUUUCUUUCCCUUGUGUGUUCUGGGAAGAUGUGUAAGUUAUAUUACAAAACUAACUUUUAUAAACUCAGCCUUAUCUCAUACUAUAAAAAAUUGGCACCAGAUGCAAUGAUUCUUCCAUUUAGUAAAGCAAGACUACCAUCCUGGGAUUUGUAGUAUUGUGAGGCUCUGUGGCAGAGAAGAUUAAAGGUGUUAUAAAACUACAGCUCCCAUGAUUCCAUAGCAAUUAUCCAUGGCAGUUAAAGAAGUGCUAAACUGCAUUAUAUCUACAGUGUAGAUGUAUCUUUGGGUAGCUAAUUUCAGAUGUUAUGGAAAAAUAAUGAAAUAUUACUGAUGGUUCUAUCAUUUGUCAUAAUUAUAUUUUCAUCACCAAAAAGGGGGAGAAGUGUUCCAGGGAUUGUUUGGCUUUGUCAUUAAUUAUGUUGACUAGUUGUGAGAAGCAUGCAUCUGAGUAAACAUGCAUAGGAUUCUGACAAUAAUAACUGCAUAUAGUUCUAUGCAAAUUGACAUUUUAUGUUAUGUUCAGAAGAACUUUGACCAUAUUUUUGUAAGAUUUGGGGAAAAUACAUUUAAUUUUUUUUAUGGAAGAGGUACUAUAAACUAGGAUUCAUGGAGAAUUAAUAUUAUAAAUGGAGACUUUGUGUACUUUACCUUUACUAAGAUGAUGUCUCUAUGGCUUCAAGAAAAGAUGGCAUAUUCAGAGUCUUCAUUACCAGAACAGCUAAGACUAUGAGAUGAUUUUAUUGCAUCCUUUUCUUAACUGGUUUGCUGUACACAAGUUGCUUAUGAGAAAGACUAUGAAGUUCAAAGGGAAAAGUUAAACCUGAACUGUUUUUUUCUCAACAAUGAAGAUUUCUUACAGAUAUUUGACAUAAUUACUUUUUCUUGCCGUGUUGUUUCUUCAAGCUUGGCUACAUUUUCUUAGCCUCAUCCUUUUGCAACUGAAUUUCUGGGAUUUUCAGCUUGCCCUACAAAUUUCUAGAAUCAGAUCUGCUGAACCAACUAAGGCCCCAUUACUUUUGAACAGUCCAAACUUCAUCACACAUAUCCAUGCUCUUGAACCUGAAACUGACAACAGAAAAUUGUCAGUUGUUCAUCUAUAUCUUCAAUUGUUUUUUGUGGAACAGAACCUAUCUUUUGAGAUGUCAAGGUUUAGCUGUCCUUAGGGACUAUGAAUAUUUGAAUUCUCCCUUUCUUUUCAUAGAUAUAACAAUACCUGUACAUGAUUUUUAACUUGUGAAUUAAUAUGUCAGAUGAAUUUGUUUUUACCUUGCUCUUUCUCCAUAUAUUUUUCUUCUGCUCUACCCUUCCCCUUUUCACUUUAGCAGCAAAAAUCUAAAAAGAAAAACCAAUAAAACUUCCAAGUAUUAAAAAAUUAGGUAUGUUUCUAGCAAGCAUGCCUUGCAGUCUCUUCUAACAGUUUUUCUAAAACUAUUUCAUACCAAUUACAAAUUCAGCUAAUUUACACUGUUUCACAUAUAGAUCCUUGAGGUGAAUUGCUGUUGUACUUACUAAUUAUUUGCAAGAAAGCACAAAUUAUUGUGAAUACUAUUAGCAUUUCUCCAUGAAUAAAACAUUUUCUAUCUAAUCGGAACUUAUGGUUACAAAACAUCCAUCUAUAUCCUUCAAAGAAGUCAGGAAAGUUACAAACUUGUAAGGUGCUGUAAUUUUGUCUGUUGGUUGUCAUAUCAAAGUUUACAUAUUCAGAACAACAGGUUCAGGGAUGACUUUUUAAAUAUGGGUCUCACGACUGCCUCCUUUAGCAAGUUGGAACUUUUCCUUGUUCCAAGGAGGCAUUGACCAUCACCUUCAUCCACUCUGCCAGUCCCCCUCUGGCCUGUUUGAUCAGCCAGGAAGGGCAAGGAUCUAGAAUACACAAGGUAGUUCUCACCUCUCCAAGGAUCCUGUCCAUGUCCUCAGGCUGCACAAAUUGAAAGGUAUCCAUCAACACUGGACAAGCAGGAGCCAAAGAUACAUCCACUGGAAUUGUAUCAUUAUCAAUAGCAGCAUCCAAGUCAGAACAAAUAUGAGCAACUUUAUCUGUAAAAUGCCUUGCAAACUCUUCGUAGUGGGCUGCUGAAUGGUCAGGGAUUUCUCCUUGAAGACCAGUGUGUAAUAGCCCUCUGACCACUCGAAACAGCUCAGCUGGAUAUUUCCAUGUACAUGCAAUGGUGGCAGCAAGGAACGAUUUCUCUGCUGCCUCCAUUGCUGCUGAGUAGGCUUUUAAAGACUCCGUAGCCUGUUCUCAGUCAGAUUUGCUUUGAGUUCUCUUCUUCUCACUUACUUCAUCACUGCUAACUCCUAGGAAAACCAAGGGGCUGGUUUGGCUCUGCUCCAUGAGAGGGGACAUUCAGGAGCUAUUGUGUCCACUGACUUGAUCAUUUCCCUAUUCCAGAGAUCAGCCAGAGCUUUGACAGAAUUGCCUGCUAAGGUGACAGGAAAAUCCCCAAGAACCAUUAGGAAUCCAUUCAGUACUCAUAUUGACCUGUGAAUAAGGUGACACAGGUUUUUUGACUAAAAUAUCUAGAUUUAUACAUGCAGAUAGAUAGAUAGGUUAAUAGUUCUGACCAAGUGUUAAAAAUGCACACAUAAUUUACAUUUACAAAAUAUAGUUCGCAUUAUAUUGCAAAUUGGCAACAUUAAAAACUUGGUUGUUCAGUUUAGAAUAAUGAAAUUGUGUUAUGGAUGCAUUCCAAGAAGUAAGUAAGUAAAACUUUAUUUAUAUACCAUCCUCUCUCCCCAAAGAGACUCAGGGCGGUUUACAAGCAUAAAAACAGCAACAUACAUUACAUAAGUAGCACAAUAAACACAUUAUUAAAACAAAAUUAAAAAUCUAUACAGCUAGUAAAACAGUGGAGAUCAUAAGAAACAAUCACAACAACCAGAAGGAACAAGAAUAUAUAAUAAGAUGGGUUGACAUGGUCCGUUAUUAGGGAUAGAUGAUCCUUGUACAGCAUGUUUCAGGGCCAGGGGUCGGCGGUACACCAGAGAAAAUUAUUCAAAGACCCACCAGAACCACCAGGUUUUCAACUCCUUGUGAAAGGAGAACCAAGUAGGGGCUUGCCUAAUCUUUGGCAGGAUAUUCCAGAGCCGGGGGGGGGGGGAGGGAGGCACUACUGAGAAGGCCCGCUCCCUUGUCCCCACCAGUCGCACUUGGGACAAAGGUGGGAGCAAGAGGAAGGCCUCCCCGGAUGAUCUCAGGGCCUGUACCGGUUCAUAGGAGGAGAUGCGAUCACGGAGAAGGGAUACAUGAUUGUCAUAGGUGCAUCAUUAAGACCAUUAUACAACAUAGAUGUUGACCAAAAGCCACAGUCCAUAAAAGUACAGUACUUUCCACAAAGACAGCAAAUGGCAUUGAGCAACAACCCUCAACAGAGACAUGGAGCACUGUUAAUGGAUUGGCAGUAAAAAGUCAUGGGUGUGCUGUGCUCAAGCAGAAAAAAAUGUUUCCAAUUCUCAGCACCCUGUUGUGUUCUGGUUCACUUGUCAUGCAAUAGAUCAUGUUGCCAUUUGUAAGCUGCAGCAAUUUACUAACAAUUGCUCAGAAGUUCACAUAUACACACUACAUUAUGAAGAGUACACAUAUUAUUUAGGAACAGUAUAUUUGGAGUCUGGUUGGAAAUAAAGGAAGGCCUUGAUCGAAUCAGAGGUAUGUAAUUUCUAGUACAUCUAGUGACGGAUUUUCAGUAAUCCUAUGUACUUGGAAAUUCAUAUGCCAGAUUUGCUCCUUUGUCAUUCCUCAGUACAAGUGAAAUUUGUGCAAUUUGAAGUGUAAGUAAUGAAAAAAGAAGAUUUCUGUUUGCUGAAUUUUAAAAUGUGUGAGAAUAGCACGAAAAGUAAAAUGAACUAUUCAGGCUCUCAUAGACCUUUACAAAACAGAUCCAAUUCCUGCCAAAUACCCCUGCUUCUUGACAGAGUGUUCUCAGAAUAGUAUUCCCAGAAUUGAAUCUGCUCAAUGUGUAUUUAUGUGGAUUGAUUAGCAUCACAUUCCAUGAUAUUUCUAAAUAUCAUGAAAUGUGAUGCUAAUCAAUCCACAUAAAUACACACAGAGAAUGUGUGAGCAUGUUAUAGUGACAUGAAUCAUGCACAAGGACAAUCACAUAAGCCUGUGCAUCACCCUCUCAUGAAAAACCCCUUCUUCAUAUCAUUUAAAUCAUUAAAAUAAUGAAAAAUGGAAAUAUAAAAGCAUCAUCUAUUUCAACUUCUGUUUGUGCAUUCCAAAAUGGUUAUGCUUAAUGCUCUACUAAUUAUCCCCACAGAAAGAAAUUACAAGUAGAUCUACAGCCCAAUCCUUUAUAUGUCUACUCAGAAAUCCCACUGAACUCAAACUUACUCCCACACAGGUUUGUAUAAGAGCCUUAAUCACACAAACCACAUAAUUGCUAUUACAAUUAGAGAAGUAAUUCAAUUCCAUUUCUUUCCCCCUGCUGCCACCCCAUCUCAAGGAUUAAUGAAAAACUUUAAUUACAAUAUCCCACAGCUUCAGCAUCUAAAAUGGCCUGAGGAAACACCCUCUUGCUUAUUUAUACCAGAAUUAGAGUUUCAGGGCAGAAACACAAUCUUUCUAGUUUCACAGAAGCAAAUGAUUGGCAGCUUGGACUCCUUUCCCUGCUAUGGAGGUGGGAAAUCUAUUCUUUAUUUUUGUCACAGCUUUUUUGUAGCUGCUGUGCAUUGAACAAGAUUUUCAGUGAUGCUAAACCUCUGGUUCCAUUCCUUUCUGAGCCUCAGUGGGAGAAAUGGCAGGAAAAUCAAAAGUAUAUUUUCUGCCUGCAUAGCAGUGGAUCCACUUGCUGUUCUCGCUCUUAGAAUAAUAUUAUGUGGCUGUUCUUUUCAGCCAGCCAAAAGACAGUAGUUUCUCUAAGUAUAUUGUAUCUCCAGAGAAACCUUGGAGAUUUACAAGAGGAACUGAUUUGUUUGGAACAUGUCUGUCUUUGUCCCCUCUUAUAUUUGAGAGGCACGCUGCCUGUCCUUGCUCUAGAGCAGCUUUCUGGGUCUAUUAUGACUAGUGUAGUAGACAGCUAGAAGUGCUUUCACAUCUCUUAAAUGCAAAACAUUUCCUGCUGUAGCAUCUUUUUGUGGGAUCAUGGUGACAUCAACUGACAAGAUAGUUAUUACAGGCUGAGUGCUAUGCUCUUGCUGUUUUCGCAAGAGCAAAUUAGCAAUAUCCUUGGUUUAUGAGUUUAUAAAUAAACUCAUCAGCCCCAUCCUGACUAUUCUGCCAGGGCAGCUAUGGAACAUACAGAAGCUGACAUUAUCACGUUCAAAUUAUCUUUCUUUAAAAGAAUUUAAUUACUUGAAGCCUUCAAGGGGUAAAUUGCUUCAAGUUGAAUCAUAGUGCUGUAUUUGUGUAGUGAGAAUGGUCCAUAUGAAUCCCAUGUUUGCUAUGAUCAUCUGUGGAGAUCUGAUUUUGGGUGUUCCUGUCAGUUGGAAGCCCAGAAUUUGGUCAUGAGGGAAAGCUCUUUUUAAUGUCUUCCCAUUUGAAGAAUGAUCUUUUGAGAGGAGCGCAUCUGGCACAUAUCUGAAUGUCUUUUUGACUAUCAUACUACAAUUUUUUUUCUUCUCCUUCUCAUUUUUGUUUGGGGGGCAUACCUAUAUAUCCUGCUUUUCCUCUAAACUCAAUGCAUGCGGAGCUAUCCUUUUCAUUAAAAAAAAUCAUUGCAACUUGUAAGGUGAACUAAGCUGGGCAUGAAUGGGAGCAAACUCAUCCAAAGAUUUUCAUGGCUGACUUUGUAUCUGAACCUGGUCCUUUUCCAUCUUAGUGAACAAUAAUUCACUACAUCUAAUUGUUAAAAUUUAAAUAUCAUUACUUUUUAUCUCUGUUAUGGUUUCUAGACAAGAUUUUCCCCUUUGAUUUUUGAGUUUUUUUUCUAUUAAUGGUUUUAUCUAUUUUAUUAUUAUUUACAUUCUAAUUGAUUGUCAUUUGCUAUAAUUGUAUAUUGAUGCUGAAGUAGUCUUAUGCAAAAGGUUCUAGUGAAAUCAAUGGCAGCAACUAAUGUACCCAGUAGAGAUGUGAAAAAUUACUCCAAAUUUGCCUCAAGUUAUUUGACAAUAAUAAUAAAAUUUAUUAUUUAAAAAUAAUAAAAUCCAAGCGAAUAUCUUGGAUAAUAAGGAGGGAUUAAGGAAAAGCCUAUUAAACAUCAAAUUAAGUUAUGAUUUUACAAAUUAAGCACCAAAACAUCAUGUAAUACAACACAUUUGACAGAAAAAGUAGUUCAAUACGCAGUAAUGUUAUGUUGUAAUUAUUGUAUUUACAAAUUUAGCACCAAAAUAUUAUGAUAUGUUGAAAACAUUGACUACAAAAAUGGCUCGGAUAAUCCAGAAGCUUGGAUAAGCGAGGCUUGGAUAAGUGAGACUCUACUGUAAUACACAGAUUUGGUACUAUACUUCUAUUUUUGCCUUGUAGCAAAAGAGAAGGACUUCUAUUCCAUGUUGUAAAACAGUGUUGACCUAGAAAGCAGCGAAAAAAAACUUAAAUGAAACAGCAUGUGAUCAUAUCACUGUUGAUUUGCUGACAGCCCAUUCCAUUGAUCUUUGUUUUGCAUUUGACAUCCUCCGCAAAACACUGUUUGGAUGAUGGAUUAUUGCUGAGGCAGUAUGUUUAAUCUUUAGCACAUAGACAGAAGAGAAACCCUAUCCAAACGACUGGAAACUAUACUUGUUUUUAAGAAAAAUGACAAAGCAUAUGUUCCCUAUUCUCACUUAUGCCUCAUUAAAAAGAAUGAUAAGGGAUAUUUUGAUAUGGUGGCACUUUCAAAUAAGUAGCCUCCAGCCCAUAAAACACACAAACUUUGCCAUAUUUAUGCAAAUAUGAAUCUAAUGUCCACCUCAGUUUUCAUAAUCUUGAAACCCUAACCCUAAUCUGGAGUGUCCUAUUUCUAGCAUUCACUACUGUUUUAUACAUUUAGUGAAUAAUACUCUUCUAAGAGCAAAUGCUGUUCAGUAUUAACUCUGUAUUUGCUGGUGAAUGUAAUAAGCAGCGGCAAAAAGUACACUUUUUACAAUUCACUGAUUUUGCCCCAAGUUUGAGGAUGUAUUCUCUAUUCUCAUUAGACCCAUGUUCAAUGUUUACAUUGAAUAGAUCAUAGGUAUUGUUAUUUAACUUUGAAUAUCAUUCCAUUAAUUGCUCUGGAUUGCAUGGCCAUGUCAUAAGGCAAAUUAGCAUAGUGGUAGAAGAUCUGCCUGCCAUUCUGUAGAUGGAGAGAUCAUGUCUUGUUGGGUCUACCUUGUUUCUUGGUUUUUAUUCAUUCUUUUAGUUACAAAGGUGAAUUCCCUUCUUAACUUGUUUGUUUACAUGCUUACCUGUGUCAUUCAUGAAUGUUUACUACAAGUCGUUUUUUAAAAUAUUUUUAUUGAAAUUUACAUUGUACAAAUUAAUAUUUUGUAAAAAAAAAAAGAAAGAAAGAAAGAAAGAAAGAAAGAAAGAAAGAAAAGAAAAGAAAGAAAAAAGAAAAGAAAAGAAAAAACCGAGGAAAAAAGGAAAACAGGGAAAAGUAACGAAGGAAGGAAAUGAAAAAGGGAGAAAUA